UACGUAGGCAGCAAGCGUUGUUCGGAGUUACUGGGCGUAAAGGGGUGCGUAGGCGGUCCUAUAAGUAUGGUGUGAAAUCUCCCCGGCUUAACUGGGAGGGUGCGCUAUAGACUGUGGGACUAGAGUGUGGGAGAGGAAAGUGGAAUUCCUGGUGUAGCGGUGAAAUGCGUAGAUAUCAGGGAGGAACACCGGUGGCGAAGGCGGGGUCUCUGGGGCCGAUACUGACCGCUGAGGAGCGAAAAGCGUGGGGGAGCGA
rnacentral:rRNA from 1 species